rnacentral:rRNA from 1 species
AGAGUUUGAUCCUGGCUCAGAACGAACGCUGGCGGCAGGCUUAACACAUGCAAGUUGAACGGGAUUUGUGUGGUGCUUGCACCAUAUAAUGAGAGUAGCGCACUGGUGAGUAACACGUGGGAACGUACCUUUUGGUGGGGGACAACAUCUGGAAACGGAUGCUAAUACCGCAUAAGACCUGAGGGUGAAAGAUUUAUCGCCGAAAGAACGGCCCGCGGAAGAUUAGGCAGUUGGUGGGGUAAAGGCCUACCAAACCUACGAUCUAUAGCUGGUCUGAGAGGACGAUCAGCCACACUGGAACUGAGACACGGUCCAGACUCCUACGGGAGGCAGCAGUGAGGAAUAUUGGUCAAUGGGCGAGAGCCUGAACCAGCCAAGUCGCGUGAGGGAAUAAGGCCCUACGGGUCGUAAACCUCUUUUGCCGGGGAGCAAGUCUUGGCUCGUGAGCCGAGAUGGAGAGUACCCGGAGAAAAAGCAUCGGCUAACUCCGUGCCAGCAGCCGCGGUAAUACGGAGGAUGCGAGCGUUAUCCGGAUUUAUUGGGUUUAAAGGGUGCGUAGGCGGGCUGGCAAGUCGGCGGUCAAAUGUCGGGGCUCAACCCCGGCCUGCCGUCGAAACUGCCGGUCUUGAGUGAGCGAGAAGCAGGCGGAAUGCGUGGUGUAGCGGUGAAAUGCAUAGAUAUCACGCAGAACCCCGAUUGCGAAGGCAGCCUGCCGGCGCUCAACUGACGCUGAGGCACGAAAGUGCGGGGAUCGAACAGGAUUAGAUACCCUGGUAGUCCGCACAGUAAACGAUGAAUGCUAGCUGUCCGGUCCGAUUGGGGAUUGGGUGGCACAGCGAAAGCGUUAAGCAUUCCACCUGGGGAGUACGCCGGCAACGGUGAAACUCAAAGGAAUUGACGGGGGC